ACAAUAUUUUCUGUAAUAUGUGUAUAAAGGGCUUUCAACGAUCAGCAAGGCUGUUUAAGCCAAACUGCCCCCUUUGCUGGGUAGUUUGGUUUUGACGUCCAAAAUGGCUGGCCAAGGAUACAACUAUGAGUUGAAAUAUUUCUGACAAAUUCCUCUUAUUGAAAGAAAACUAACUUCCUGAUAAAUUUCUCUGUAUUAUCUGUAAACUAGUUUCCCGUGAUCAGCAACAAGCAUCCUGCUGCCACGAUAUUUUUUUGACUUCGACAAAAAAGUGAGGCCUUUGAAACCAUAAUGCCCAUCAAAAGAAGUUCAGCACCUUUGAUGAUGGAAGGCUCAUUUGUGAGUUGAUUCUCAAUUAGGUUUACUUGAAGAGGGCUGUAAAUGGCAGGGCGAAACUGGCACGUUCCUUGUUAAUCAUAUCAUAUAUGCAGUAUAUCUUAAGAUCCAUGAUAUCAUGAUUAAUCCUUUCAUCAUAGACGGAACUGUAUGCUUCUUGACAAAUAGGGCAUUUUGAUUCGAAUGAUGCUCCAAAAUGACAAUAAUUUUGGACGUAUAGUCCAAAAAUUAACAACCAACUAUUCCUAAGUCUGUACCAGGCCGUCCAGCACCAUUAGUAAAGAAGCCACACCCACAAAAAGCUAAAGUGAUGUUCUCUGUUGAUUAGGAUGAUGAAGUGUCUGUGACAGAAGACGACACUGUUGAUAUUAUCAGUACAAAAACUGAUCAAGAUGGCUAGUGGAAGAUCAGAGCUGGUGGUAAGGUUGGACUGGUGCCUGAUAAUUUCUUGUCAGCAAUAGCAAGCAGUGACUAUAAACCAGUGAAGAUGAG